ACGGCUCAGUAACACGUAGUCAACAUGCCCAGGGGACGUGGAUAACCUCGGGAAACUGAGGAUAAACCGCGAUAGGUCAUAGUAUCUGGAAUGAUUUAUGGCUCAAAUCUAUAUGGCCUCUGGAUUGGACUGCGGCCGAUCAGGCUGUUGGUGAGGUAAUGGCCCACCAAACCUAAAACCGGUACGGGCUCUGAGAGGAGAAGCCCGGAGAUGGGCACUGAGACAAGGGCCCAGGCCCUAUGGGGCGCAGCAGGCGCGAAAACUCUGCAAUAAGCGAAAGCUUGACAGGGUUAUUCUGAGUGAUUUCCGCUAAGGAAAUCUUUUGGCACCUCUAAAAAUGGUGCAGAAUAAGGGGUGGGCAAGCCUGGUGUCAGCCGCCGCGGUAAUACCAGCACCCCGAGUGGUCGGGACGAUUAUUGGGCCUAAAGCAUCCGUAGCCGGUUCUACAAGUCUUCCGUUAAAUCCACCUGCUCAACAGAUGGGCUGCGGAGGAUACUAUAGAGCUAGGAGGCGGGAGAGGCAAGCGGUACUUAGUGGGUAGGGGUAAAAUCCUCUGAUCCAUUGAAGACCACCAGUGGCGAAGGCGGCUUGCCAGAACGCGCUCGACGGUGAGGGAUGAAAGCUGGGGGGGCAAACCGGAUUAGAUACCCGGGUAGUCCCAGCUGUAAACGAUGCAGACUCGGUGAUGGGCCGGCUUCAUGCCGGCUCAGUGCCGCAGGGAAGCCGUUAAGUCUGCCGCCUGGGGAGUACGGUCGCAAGACUGAAACUUAAAGGAAUUGGCGGGGGAGCA
rnacentral:rRNA from 1 species